rnacentral:tRNA from 1 species
GUGGGCAUAGUUCAGUGGCAGAGUGCAUGCUUAGCAUGCACAAGGUCCUGGGUUCAACCCCCAGUACCUCCA